AGAGUUUGAUCCUGGCUCAGAGUAAACGCUGUGCGGCGUGCCUAACACAUGCAAGUCGAACGAGAAAGCCCCUUCGGGGGUUAGUAAAGUGGCGCACGGGUGAGUAACGCGUGGGUAACCUGCCCUCGAGUUGGGGAUAACUCCGGGAAACUGGAGCUAAUACCGAAUAACAUCGCAAUCCCUUUGGGGAAUGCGUUCAAAGGUGGCUUGGCUUGCCAAGCUAUCGCUUGAGGAGGGGCCCGCGUCCCAUUAGCUUGUUGGUGGGGUAACGGCCUACCAAGGCUACGAUGGGUAGCCGGCCUGAGAGGGUGAUCGGCCACACUGGAACUGAGACACGGUCCAGACUCCUACGGGAGGCAGCAGUGGGGAAUUUUGCGCAAUGGGCGAAAGCCUGACGCAGCAACGCCGCGUGGACGAAGAAGGCCCUUGGGUCGUAAAGUCCUGUCAGAUGGGAAGAAUAAGGAAGGGUUAAUACCCCUUUCGAUGACUGUACUAUCAGAGGAAGCCCCGGCUAACUCCGUGCCAGCAGCCGCGGUAAUACGGGGGGGGCAAGCGUUACUCGGAAUCAUUGGGCGUAAAGAGCGUGUAAGCGGCCGCGUAAGUCCAAGGUGAAAGCCCCUGGCUCAACCAGGGAAUUGCCUUGGAUACUGCACGGCUUGGAGUCCGGGAGAGAGAGUGGAAUUUCCAGUGUAGCGGUGA
rnacentral:rRNA from 1 species